rnacentral:piRNA from 1 species
ACAAACAAACAAACAGAAAAACGAAGACAAAC